rnacentral:rRNA from 1 species
AUUGAACGCUGGCGGCAGGCCUAACACAUGCAAGUCGAACGAGUGGCGGACGGGUGAGUAACGUCUGGGAAACUGCCUGAUGGAGGGGGAUAACUACUGGACACGGUAGCUAAUACCGCAUACCAUCGGAUGUGCCCAGAUGGGAUUAGCUAGUAGGUGGGGUAAAGGCUAACCUAGGUGACGAUCCCUAGCUGGUCUGAGCGGAUGACCAGCCACCCUGGAACGGAGACACGGUCCAGACGCCUACGGGAGGCAGAGGUGGGGAAUAUUGCAAAAUGGGCGCAAGCCUGAUACAGCCAUGCCGCGUGGAUGAGGAAGGACUUCGGGUUGUAAGGUACUUUCAGCGGGUAGGCGUUACCCGCAGAAGAAGCACCGGCUAACUCCGUGCCAGCCGCCGCGGUAAUUC